GGGAAUAUUGCACAAUGGGGGAAACCCUGAUGCAGCGAUGCCGCGUGGAGGAAGAAGGUUUUCGGAUUGUAAACUCCUUUUAUCAGGGACGAUAAUGACGGUACCUGAAGAAAAAGCUCCGGCUAACUACGUGCCAGCAGCCGCGGUAAUACGUAGGGAGCAAGCGUUAUCCGGAUUUAUUUGGUGUAAAGGGUGCGUAGACGGGAAGGCAAGUUGGUUGUGAAAUCCCUCGGCUUAACUGAGGAACUGCAACCAAAACUAUCUUUCUUGAGUGCUGGAGAGGAAAGUGGAAUUCCUAGUGUAGCGGUGAAAUGCGUAGAUAUUAGGAGGAACACCAGUGGCGAAGGCGACUUUCUGGACAGUAACUGACGUUGAGGCACGAAAGUGUGGGGAGCAAACAGG
rnacentral:rRNA from 1 species